CCAGCCUAUGUGUCGUCUAGUUCUUGGGAAGGAAGGGUUACUGCAGUGCUGUUUGGAUUAUGGUAUGCUGAUUCCCUGGAUUAUCCUUUGUUGUUCCUGUUACCCAGCGGAGAUAUCGCGGAUUAUACUGCCUCUCCGCUACAAUUGGUGGCAAGCGACGGGAUUGAAUUUACACAGCAAAGCAACGUUCGGCAGAUUUUUAAACGAAUCAAGGAACAAGCAUUCGGGAAUUAGCGCAUUCGAAUAAACCUCACGAACAGCAG